GGGCCCCACUCAGGGUUCGGGAAGGAAGUGUGAACUUCUGGAGAUAUUGCUUGGUGACUCAGACCAUGGACUGGAGGAAUAAUACACUCUUGCUGCUUUCCCAUGCUUCUCAGAGUCCCCUCUCAUGGGUGGUGUGGUCUGCAGUGAUGUGAUGAGCAGGCAGGACAGAGGUCACACGGUAUCGUCCUGGGUGCUUCCUUUGAGCCAGCAGAUGCUCAGGUUGCCUCCAGGAUGGUGUGUCAUGGUCUCCAAAGGGAAAGGCUUGCUGUCACCUUCUUGUGGGUGCUGCAGAGGACAUGGUGGCCUUUUAUCCAGGCAGCUUUGUUCCUUGUGGUGGGCUCUCACAGAAGCCUUCAGGAUAAGGUGCCUGAGCUGCAGCCACUCCCCAUUGCCUGUAUCUACUGGGAAAGGUCCUCUCCUUCCAAAUAUUUCUCUCCUCCAAGUAACAUCAGGCUGGGUUCUAGAGAGAGCAGCCCAUGGGACUGAUAGUGGUGUCAGCCUACACUUUUCCCUUCCCCUCCUCAUGGGCCAGGGAAAAAGACAUGAAGACUUGGUUGGAUGUGUUUAUUUAGUAGGAAAGGCAGCUCCAUUGGGAAAGGGCUGGAACUGGUGGCUGUGGGUGUACAGCAGUGUUAUGGUUUGGGUUGAGAUGCCCCCUAAAGCCCCAUGUGGUCAUAGGGUUGGUCUAGAGUGUUUGAAGCUGGAAUUGAUUCAUGAUACAAUGCUAGGCUCAAGGGGGCUAGGAUUAAGAGUGUGAGUGCUACCCGCCCUACGUAGUAUGAAUAAGAUAAAAGGGGCACAAAGAUCCUGUUAAACUCUCUCUUGUUACCUUUGUUGCCUUGUGUAUGGCAUGUUGUUUGUCCUGAAACCUCUACAAACUGUAAGCCAAAUAAAACCAUUCCCCUCCAACUUUGGGUGUCUAGUAUUUUGUCUCAGCAGUGAGAGAAAAGUAACUAACAGAAGCAGUGCACUAUAAGAAGGGACUUCCAGCUCUCUCACUGUCAUUGUGGAAGCUGGAGCAGACAGUUGGCACCUUGGGCAGAGGUGACAGGAAGAACAGGG
ensembl:lncRNA